AGAGUUUGAUCCUGGCUCAGGAUGAACGCUAGCGACAGGCUUAACACAUGCAAGUCGAGGGGCAGCAUGAGGUAGCAAUACCUUGAUGGCGACCGGCGCACGGGUGAGUAACGCGUAUGCAACCUGCCCGAUACCGGGGUAUAGCCCAUGGAAACGUGGAUUAACACCCCAUAGUACUUUUAUCCUGCAUGGGAUGUGAGUUAAAUGUUCAAGGUAUCGGAUGGGCAUGCGUCCUAUUAGUUAGUUGGCGGGGUAACAGCCCACCAAGACGAUGAUAGGUAGGGGUUCUGAGAGGAAGGUCCCCCACAUUGGAACUGAGACACGGUCCAAACUCCUACGGGAGGCAGCAGUGAGGAAUAUUGGUCAAUGGACGUAAGUCUGAACCAGCCAAGUCGCGUGAGGGAAGACUGCCCUAUGGGUUGUAAACCUCUUUUAUAAGGGAAGAAUAAGUUCUACGUGUAGAAUGAUGCCUGUACCUUAUGAAUAAGCAUCGGCUAACUCCGUGCCAGCAGCCGCGGUAAUACGGAGGAUGCGAGCGUUAUCCGGAUUUAUUGGGUUUAAAGGGUGCGUAGGCGGUUUAUUAAGUUAGUGGUUAAAUAUUUGAGCUAAACUCAAUUGUGCCAUUAAUACUGGUAAACUGGAGUACAGACGAGGUAGGCGGAAUAAGUUAAGUAGCGGUGAAAUGCAUAGAUAUAACUUAGAACUCCGAUAGCGAAGGCAGCUUACCAGACUGUAACUGACGCUGAUGCACGAGAGCGUGGGUAGCGAACAGGAUUAGAUACCCUGGUAGUCCACGCCGUAAACGAUGCUCACUGGUUCUGUGCGAUAUAUUGUACGGGAUUAAGCGAAAGUAUUAAGUGAGCCACCUGGGGAGUACGUCGGCAACGAUGAAACUCAAAGGAAUUGACGGGGGCCCGCACAAGCGGAGGAACAUGUGGUUUAAUUCGAUGAUACGCGAGGAACCUUACCCGGGCUUGAAUUGCAACUGAAUGAUGUGGAGACAUGUCAGCCGCAAGGCAGUUGUGAAGGUGCUGCAUGGUUGUCGUCAGCUCGUGCCGUGAGGUGUCGGCUUAAGUGCCAUAACGAGCGCAACCCUUGUUGUCAGUUACUAACAGGUUCCGCUGAGGACUCUGACAAGACUGCCAUCGUAAGAUGUGAGGAAGGUGGGGAUGACGUCAAAUCAGCACGGCCCUUACGUCCGGGGCUACACACGUGUUACAAUGGGGGGUACAGAAGGCAGCUACACGGCGACGUGAUGCUAAUCCCAAAAACCUCUCUCAGUUCGGAUCGAAGUCUGCAACCCGACUUCGUGAAGCUGGAUUCGCUAGUAAUCGCGCAUCAGCCACGGCGCGGUGAAUACGUUCCCGGGCCUUGUACACACCGCCCGUCAAGCCAUGGGAGCCGGGGGUACCUGAAGUGCGUAACCGCGAGGAGCGCCCUAGGGUAAAACUGGUGACUGGGGCUAAGUCGUAACAAGGUAGCCGUACCGGAAGGUGCGGCUG
rnacentral:rRNA from 1 species